rnacentral:rRNA from 1 species
UGCAACUCGCCUACAUGAAGCCGGAAUCGCUAGUAAUCGUGGAUCAGCAUGCCACGGUGAAUACGUUCCCGGGCCUUGUACACACCGCCCGUCACACCACGAGAGUUUGUAACACCCGAAGUCGGUAGGGUAACCUUUAUGGAGCCAGCCGCCGAAGGUGGGACAGAUAAUUGGGGUGAAGUCGUAACAAGGUAGCCGUAUCGGAAGGUGCGGCUGGAUCACCUCCUUUCUAAGGAA